rnacentral:rRNA from 1 species
GACGAACGCUGGCGGCGUGCCUAAUACAUGCAAGUCGAACGCAGUGGGGACGGGUGAGUAACACGGUGGUAACCUCCCAUCAGAGGGGAUAACACUUGGAAACAGGUGCUAAACCGAUACUGAUGGAUGGACCGGCGGUGCAUUAGCUAGUUGGUGAGGUAACGGCGUACCAAGGCCACGAUCCAUACCCGGCCUGAGAGGUUGAUCGGCAACACUGGAACUGAGACACGGCCCAGACUCCUACGGGAGGCAGCAGUAGGGAAUAUUCGGCAAUGGACGAAAGUCUGACCCAGCAACGCCGCGUGAGUGAAGAAGGUCUUCGGAUCGUAAAACUCUGUUAUUAGGGAAGCGGUACCUAAUCAAAAAGCAACGGCUAACUACGUGCCAGCAGCCGCGGUAAUAC